GACGAACGCUGGCGGCGUGCUUAACACAUGCAAGUCGAACGGAAAGGCCCUGCUUUUGUGGGGUGCUCGAGUGGCGAACGGGUGAGUAACACGUGAGUAACCUGCCCUUGACUUUGGGAUAACUUCAGGAAACUGGGGCUAAUACCGGAUAGGAGCUCCUGCUGCAUGGUGGGGGUUGGAAAGUUUCGGCGGUUGGGGAUGGACUCGCGGCUUAUCAGCUUGUUGGUGGGGUAGUGGCUUACCAAGGCUUUGACGGGUAGCCGGCCUGAGAGGGUGACCGGCCACAGUGGGACUGAGAUACGGCCCAGACUCCUACGGGAGGCAGCAGUGGGGAAUAUUGCACAAUGGGCGGAAGCCUGAUGCAGCAACGCCGCGUGCGGGAUGACGGCCUUCGGGUUGUAAACCGCUUGCGCCUGUGACGAAGCGUGAGUGACGGUAAUGGGUAAAGAAGCACCGGCUAACUACGUG
rnacentral:rRNA from 1 species